GUAGACUCAACAGAGAGAUCACAGCCUUCUUUAGACUUGCUGUAGCUCAGAGUUAUUAACACUGCAGAUAUGAUGCCUCUGUUUAUCUCAGUGUUGCUGGCUGCUGUGUGUCUUGAAUGCAGAGGACAAAAAGACAACGUGCUGCAACCAGAAGGAGAUGUGACUGCUCCUGAAGGAGAGACAGUCACACUGAGCUGUCAAUAUACCAGCAGCUUUUCAAAUAGUUAUCUCUUCUGGUACAAACAGGAGGGAAACAACAGCCCCACAUUCAUCCUGAGUCGCUUCAAAGGAGAUGAAGGAAACACACCAGAUGAGUUUAAGAAGAGAUUUUCCUCCACACUGAAUUCCUCGUCCAACUCAGGAUCAGUUCCUCUGAAGAUCCAGAAGCUUCAGCUGACUGACUCUGCUGUGUACUACUGUGCUCUGAGGCCCACUGUGACAGGAAACACCAACACUCUGUACAAAAACCUUUGGAGCAAACACAACACAAUACUCCACAACAUCCACUAGAGGGCGUCUCUCCCUCUCCAACUUAAAUUGAGUGUGGUGAUGGAGACUAAAUCAUGAGUGUAUUUUUCUGUCGAUGUAAAAAGGGAAAUGAAGAAUGGUUCAAACACAGAGCUACAGAAGGUUUUGUUGUGUAUUGA